UCUUGGAGAAAACUUGGAGAAUAAAGAAAAAGCCAGGGAUAAUAAUUUGCUUUGUAAUUUUCAUUGCAUUUAUGCCAUAAACUUCUUUCAUGAGCAAAAUUGGGAUGACACCGUUUAUGUUAUAUAACAUUUUUCAUUUAACAAUAUAUUGUGAAUAUUUUGCCAUACUUUUAGAUAUUAUUAUACAUGGUUUUUAAUGACUCCUUAGUAUUCCUCCAAUGGAUGUAACACAAUUUACUUACACGUCCCUACUUUUUUUUCCUGUUAUAUUAAUAUGGCAAUGGACAUCUUUGUGUACAGCUGUAGUUAAUUCCUUGGGAUACAUUUUGGAAGUAGAUUUGUUCCCCAGAAAGGCUGUACCAUCAUAUACAAUUUUUUUUUUCAUAGCUGGUAGAGAAGAAAAAGAAAUAUCAGCAGUAUAUUGCCACUUUGCACAAGAACACUAAGCUACAGUUGUAUACAUUGAGUAGUUUCCAGGAAAGCUCACCUUUGACAGUUGAGCUGUCCUUAAAAUGUCACUUGGCAGUUUCAAUUUUCCAUUUUCUUUCUCAUCUAAUGGGCAAAGGGCAUUUUUUCCCAGGUGACUAUUGCUAUCCUCUUUUGAAGUCAUAUGAGGCCAUUAGUGCUAUGUGACCAAGGUUUGGAAGGAGCACCCUACAAAGGCUGGGAAAAUACUUAGGUUACAAGUCAUAGCAGACUUCCUGGAGGAGGCAAGACUUGAGUGGGGAACUGUAUAUGGGUAGCAUCAAGUAGGCAGAGGAUGAGCAGAUUUUAGGGGAAAAGACCAUUUGGGGCAGCUUGCCAUAAACCACUGCAGUAGAAAACCAUUGGUACACAACAGGAAUAAAGCUAAUAAAACUAAAAACCUGUCACCCUACAGAAUUCAUAGUGCCCCCUCCCCAUCAGUGAACAUAACGCACUUGACCAACAGGAGUGUACCAUACUCAAAGGCCUGUGUUUAGGGUCUUGCCAAUAUCAGGGGUGCACCUUCUCUGGGCUAGGCUGACCUACAUUCUUUUUAUAAAGGAAUGAGAUGGAUAUUUUAGGACAUCAAGAGCUAGAGACUAGUCAAAGGAAUAAUCUUUGUUUCCUUUUAUUCUCUAUGGAAAGCACUGCUGAGCAACAUUCAGACAUGACGUGCAUUGUUUCGCAGCUCUUUACCAAAGGUGGGGUUGUUCUAGAAGUUUGAAUAGUGUAGUACCCCCCAGCUGGAGUGGCCCGCCGGUCAUAGUGGGUGAAGACAGAAGUCGUUUGCCUGCAGCUCUUGGCCAAGUCCCGUGAGCACCAUCCAGCUCUCUGGUUACCUCCCCUGGGGAAGAAAUUGGAGUUCUCCUCUGUUUGAGGUGGGCAGUCCCAGUGGGCAGGCUUUCCCUAUCCUUAACAAGAAUACUUAAAGUACAAGCGAAUAUAAUUUCUGGACGCAGAGAGAUUAUUAGAGAAAUGUUGCACCCACUUCAUGUUCCAUUUGUUGCGAGAAGUACAGUCUUCCGGAAGGGUGCACACAGACUUGGUGUGACUUAAGCACAAGGGUCAGUCACCAUUGUCUAAUCCCAUUGGUUCCCCAUGAGAAGGAAGCCUAUAUUAUUAACUGUAUGGGGAGUGUUAGUGGGUGUUUGGGCCCAUUAAGCAGAACUCGUCCAGGGCCUUCUAGCACUUCUACAUCAGGUUAAGCCAGUAACUGAAGAAACCCCGAAUACUUUCCCUUGAAUUAUAAGGGCUCCAGAAAGAUUGCUACUAGUGAGUCAUUCAAGCUGUAGCCAAAAAGCAAUUCCAGACAGGUGGAAGGGAGAGGUCUGGACCACUCCACUGUUUGAAGGUCCCCUGGGAUGAAUAUCUAGCACGGAAUCAACAACGGUGGCCCUCGGCCCUCUGCUCUGGACUUUUCAUGAUCCAGGUCUCAAGAGCCAACUUGACCCCAACGUGACCCCACCCUAAAGCUCUGGGUAAAGAUGCCCCCUGGAGGCAAAAGUGAACACACAUAGGCCUCAGACAGAGCAGCCUCGGAAAUAGGUCCUUGUUUGUCUUCAAAGUCCGCAAGCUUAGGGCGGGACCUCUGUGCUGUUUCGCAGCACCUGACCCCCAGUAGUUAUCAAUGUCUGCCAGGCGCAUGAGCAGAUGGAAGAACGAGGCUAGGCCUGGACCAGUUCCAGCUGCCUCCAGUCCUGCCUGCCCUGUCUUCAUGUGGGCGUGCAGUGCUGUACCUCAGCAAGGGAAGACGGUGUGACAGACGACACUGCAGAGCACAGAGGCGACAAGCUUGGGAUUUGGAGUCAGACACGUCUGGGCACUAAUCCCAGCUCUGCCGCUUGUGAGUUGUGUGACUUCAGAUGACUGACUUGAUCUUCGAGCUUCCGUUUCCUCAUAUAUAAAAAGGAUGCAAUAAAAUCGUCCUCAUUUGGCUCUCAGGAGAAUAAAAUAAGAGAAUGGCUAUAACGCGUUUAACCAAGGGGCACACAGUAAGUGCUCAACAAAUGGGCCUGUGUGGGGGUCUAUGCAUCUGUAGAUGUGACGCCGUAGACCCAGAGGUAGCUUGGGAGGACCAGCACACGUCGCCCUUUCUAGAGGAGGCAUCGUGGAUUCUGGACCCUGCAGUGUCAGCCAGCGUAGCGCAUUAGCACCCGGGAUUAUUCUGUUAAGGGUGUGGGCCAUGAAUCAUGAGUGAAAGUCUCUGAGGUCACCGGUGUGGGGAUGAGGUCAGGGCCAGCCUUGUGAUUAAGUCACACGAGCCAGAAGCAGACCUGCUUGGUUCUCAGGAUAAGAGUUAUGGCUGACUUCAUGGAGGAUGAGGGACGGAAGGGAGCUUCCACUGGGUCUAGUCUGAGUCUCAAAUUCGAUGGGGAUUCCUUAUCAGUCAAGGCAUGUUUCUGCUCAGCAGGGAUGGCCCUUCCCCGCCAAGUGCCUUUACGGGGCCAUCACGACUGUUAAAUUUGACUCAGGCCAGAUGCACCACUGGGCAAAUUUUAUUGGGAGUUGCACAUGCCAGGAACUCCUACAGUGUGUCAUCUGAGAAAGCCCUAGAACAUUGAGACAGAGUCAAGCUCUGCCCUGGAAGCCUAGUGCGUGAUGAUCCUGUUUGUGAAAUUUUAAUUGCUCAGAAUGACUGAUGGUGCCGUGGGUGAUUACUGAAUUGCACCUUUGGUAAUCAGUCAUUCACUCAACAUUUAUUUCCUUUCUUUGCUUUUCUCCUAGGUGAAAACUGUGGUAGUGAGAGACCACAUAUUUGGGCCCACGAUGUGCCAGGAGCAUGGCACGCUUCUCUGCUGGCUCUUUCAUCCUGUUUGCUUGCAUACACAACAGUGUCCCCACAUAGGAAUCCCAGGCGGUUUGGUGGCUCUUUAACAUUCCCCAGAGCUACCUUUUAAAGCAGUGAGGUGACUCGAGUUCCAGCAGAGAGGCUGGAUUAAAAUGCUGAGCAUGAACACUUGAGAGAAGAUGCACAUUAUGGUUGUUGUUUGGCAUCUUUGCACAUUAACUAUUCUCACUAUCAGAAAAUGGAAUAUUUUGCUAGCAGUUACUGGAGGAGCCAAAGGUUUUAGCAACAGAAUUGUUUUAUAUUUAAAAGCUACUGGACAAGUCACACUCUUUCUCCUGUAAUCCAUAACUAUGGCCACUAGUGGAGCUCAGGAGAAUGGAAUCCCAGUGCCCCCUACACCAAGGGCACAGGUCUCCCAGAGCAGCUCUCUGCAAGGAGUCAGGAUGAUGUGGUGAACGCUGAGCUGUGAGCUGGAGGUUGGGAUGUUGGGGUUCAAAAUUCUGGCUCUGCCACUUACCUGCCGGGUAGCUCUGUGAGGGCUGUGCUUGCUUGUCUGUAGAACAAGGGGCAGGCCCUAGAGUCACUCCAGUCCCAAUAUUCUAGGAGACUGGGCGAGAUUGGAGGGGCACUCAGAAAUCUGGAGACAACGUAAGGACUGUUCAGAUUAAUGUGUCCUUGGUAACUCUGAGCAGGGGUCACAGAUGUUUGGCGCUGGAUAGAGAAAUCUCAGAGCUAUGGGAUCCCACCCAAGUGCAAAGUCCCUAGAACCACUCAGUUGUCACUAGCAGUUAACAUGAAAUUCUUUGGUGGAUAAUGUCAUCAUGUUAGUGGAUAAUGACUUUUAUGAAACUAAUGCUCUUUGAGAUACAUUUUCAAACUCUAGUCUCCUGUUAUUUUUCAUUAUUAGUACUAGUAAAAAAAUAAUAGCAUCCUCGAUGUACCCAGUGCUUGUGAUGUGCUAUGCACUUUUUACGCUGUGCGAAGCAUGACCUCAUUAAACCCUCCUGAUAACUCUAUUAUUGCCCCCAUUUUACAGAUGAGAAAACUAAGGCUCAGAGAGGUUCAGAGGCUUUUCCAAGGUCACAUCAUCAGUAAAUGGAUGCACUAGGAUUUGAGUCUGACUCAGUCACUUCCAAGUCCACAUCCGUCUUUUAUGGCCAGAAAUUCUAGUGUUCUGCAUCACAUAUGAUCAGCCACAUUAUAAUCAACACACAUUUGCGAAAUGUCAGCUGUGAGCAGAAAGCAGAGGUGGAGAAAUUGGAUAUAGUCCUUGCUUUUACGAUCCUCAAAUCUAGGAGACAGAGCUAUCUGUAAGUGAUACAAGAGCAUAAAACAAUGAGUGGUUAGAUUGCUAGAACCAGAGGGGCUCAGAGGCAGGAAAAAUUACCAAGCACUCCGAAAAAGCUUUAUUGACAAAUUGGGACUUCCCUUGCAUCCUAAAGAAUGGAGGUUGAAAAAAAGUCCAAGGAAAGCAGAGAGAAGAGGAGAGAUGCUGGAGUCGGGGGAAGGAUAAGAACAAAGGCCCGGCGAUGGGGGUGCGCUUGCCGUGUUCUGAGAACAUUGGGUGGGCGCGGCCGCUUGAUGCCAGCAGAAGGUUUGGGGAGCAAGAGAGUCAUCUGGGGAGGAGCCUUCCGCUUGGCCACCAGGGGAGGGACUCAGUCUCCUCUGUGCAGACAGUUCCUCUAAGCAGGUGAGCACAUACUGGGCGUGUCUCCUUUGCAAAGCAAGAAACUUGAUAUUAGAUUGCUUCUCCCACAUAAGAAUAGUGACUGCAAUAGAGAAAUUUUACUAACAAAAAAUAGUCACUUGGAGAACAUGUAUAAAUCCUACCAAAGACUAAUAUUCCCUUGGCCACACUAAGGAGUGAACCAAGAGAGCUGCCUUCCAUGCUGCCUGUGUUAAGCGCCCAUGCAUUUACUGACAAGAAAUGGGAGAAAAAAAAGCCGCUAAGAAAGCCGUGUUGGGAUGGUGGCAUUAUGGGUGAUUUUUUUUUUCCUCUUUGAGGCUGACUUUAAUGUUACCGUUAAAUACUAACUGACAUUUUUUUAAUGAGGCCAGUCAUGUUGGGAGGCUAAGGGAAUUUCUGAAUUGAAUAUUAACUAAGUUAUUUACAAUUUUUAGCGACCAGAAGUUAUUGCAGAUUUUUGAAAGUUUAUUAGAGGAAAAAUUUACAACAAAUCAAGGGAGAUGGCACACACCAGGCCCUGGCCUGGAUUGCCUUUAUGCUCUUUGGCUGUCAGGGAGCUCCUAUUCAUCCUCCAAAACCCAAGCAGGCUUCACCUUCUCUUCCAAGCCUUCCCAUCCACUCUGCUCACGUCUACCCCACCCUGCAACAGAGUUUAACUGUUGGUAACUCUGUUUACCCAUAGUACCUUACAUCAGUAGGAAGCAGUAAUUUGGAGUCAUUUAGACAGUUUAGGAAUCCUAGCUCCACUACUUAUUAGCUGUGCAAUUAAGUUACGUAACUGAGCCUCAGUUUCCUCCUCUGUAAAAUGGGGAUAAUAGCUUUUGCACCUAUGAGGACUGAAAUAAAAUAUGUAAAAUGCUUAGACCAGUUUAUGGCAUUAAAUAUGUGCUCAGUAAAGGGUCCUUUCAGAAUGAUCUAUCCAUUUCUGUGACUGCAUUUACCACAUUGUAUUUACUGCUUGCGUGGUUUUCUCUCCCAUCAGCUACAGCGCAUGGGCAGCGUUUUUUGUUUUGUUUUGUUUUCAUCUCUGGUACCCAGUACCAGGCACACGUCGGGCUCCUGGGGAGCCAGGGAGGCAGAGCUGUGGGGGCAGCUCGGGGAGACCGGUCCCCAGCGGGGCCGGGGAGGAGCCCUCGGGAGGCAGGCGAGGAACCUGGGGCCUGUAGCGACCCGGAGGAGCUGGGAAGAGGGUCGUAUAGGUUGAUAUUGACGCCAAGGAGUGGGGACGGGAGGAAUCCCGUUUGCCUGUUCCAAGAUUCUAGUUGCUGAAGUCUAGGCUGCCUUCUUGUAUAUUUUUCCAGCUAUGAGUCAACUCAUUGCAGUUUCAGGGGUCCCAUCCAAGAGAGGUCUUCAGCUGGCAUCAGAUGUGUUGGUUCCAAUGGUGACGCAUUUAAAAUAAUAAUGAUGAUGCAAAUGUUAGGGCUCAGGCCAGGCCCCUGGUAGAGUGUCUCCUCACACAUUGUUACUUAGUUCGCAUAACAACCCUGUAUAGUGGAUAGUAUUCUUCUCUCACCCCAUUUGACCAAUGAGGAAACAGAUACAGAAAAGCUAAGACACAUGCCCGAGAUCACACAGCUAGCAAGUAGCAGAGCUGGGUUUUGAACCCCUCCCUGUGUCUCUCCAGAAAUGGAGCUCUUAACCACGUGCCUCCCAAACAAUUUAAUGUGUUUUCCCUCCAUUUCACUGUCCUAACAUUUCUUGAGGGUCUGCUGUUGACUAUCGUUGAAGAGAAUGAUUGCAAAAACCUUGAAUGAGCAUGGGAAAUGCUGAGGAUGGGAUUUCCAUGGAAAAGAGAGGGAUGCUUAACAGACUGGGUGCUGUGGCUGUAAUUGUCAGAAAAUGUUUAAGAGUAGGGACAGAUGGAAAAAAUCUUAUUAGAAUAAUUGUGGGUGAACUUUAGUUCUUUUUUUUUUGUUUUUUAUUCUCAAAAAUAUCCUUAACGUCAUUGUUUCAUAGUCUUUAUAAAUACACCGCCACAUAAAGUAACAGAAGCCCUCUGGCUUGAUUGUCAUACCGAACAUGGCCAUGUGGUGUCCCUCUAGCUCAGUCUAAACCUCAGAGAUGACUGACUUCCCCUAGUCUCCUCCUGGAUGAGGGGCAGGCUGGUCUGAUCAGAUCCGAAGCCCGAGGGCCAGCUCCUAGGUGCUGGGGCUGCAAGGACGUUACGGCUGGAGGAGGCAGAAAAACAACCACACUGUGUCAAAUGUCAA